rnacentral:lncRNA from 1 species
GACUGUAUUACUCUCUUUCUUCAAAACUUCCCCUCCACGCCAAUGGCACCGCCGACUGCUAACCACGCCAAGCAGCCACGGAAGCCUCCAAUGGGUAGAAAACGCCUUUCUCUGUCUAGUCUGUCGCCCUGCGGUCUCGCGCUCUGCUGAUCCUCUCCCUGGCUCCACUAUGCUUCUUCAUAGCCGAUGAGCUGGGGGAAGCGGCUGCCUACUCUGCCGCCGCCCCUUUCUCCACCUCUCUCUACGGCUGUUCUUCCGUUCCCGCAGAUUUCGCCGCUAACGCGCUUUCUCUCGGUUCCGUGGCCGCGGGGGAAGAAGAUGGGUCAACCAGCGUCGCGGACCACCCACCUGGGCUAGACCGCGUCCUACCUCUCCCUCUACCUGCCUCCUCCGUACAUCUCCCGAGCCAAAACAGGGAGAUCCCGGCAGAAGCGCCUCCCGAUGGACACGACGGUGCGCGAAGGAGGAGCUCCGGCGAGCCCGGAUCCAGAAUCCGGGGGCGGAAACGCGAAUGAGCAGCGCCCGGUGAGGCCGUGAAACCGUGGGGCCGGUCGGCGGAAAAAUGCCACCCCGAGAGACGGGAGCGGGCGGUGCCCUCGGGGGAAGGACUCGCCGGAGACGGCCCUAGGGUUCCGGCGGGGCCGAGAUUUGGAGAGGAGAAAGAGGGGAGGGUGGGGGGAGAGGGGCAGGGGCCUGGUCGCCGGCGC